GACGUAGGGGGCGAGCGUUGUCCGGAAUCAUUGGGCGUAAAGAGCGUGUAGGCGGCUAGAUAGGUCCGUUGUGAAAACUCGAGGCUCAACCUCGAGACGUCGAUGGAAACCAUCUGGCUAGAGUCCGGAAGAGGAGAGUGGAAUUCCUGGCGUAGCGGUGAAAUGCGCAGAUAUCAGGAAGAACACCCGUGGCGAAGGCGGCUCUCUGGUACGUGACUGACGCUGAGACGCGAAAGCGUGGGGAGCAAACAGG
rnacentral:rRNA from 1 species